GAGAGAUGAUGAUGAAUUAUUUAGUUUACCUAUUGGUUUCACAGCCGAUAUGAUGGUUACAAUUGUAUUAGCUCUAUCUGAACUCUU